rnacentral:rRNA from 1 species
AUCACUUUGAGCCAACUCUAGCCCAAGCCCCGUAUAACUGUACUACCUACAAUACUACAACCAAACCAUUUACUUACUAUAAAAGUAUAGGCGAUAGAAAUUUCACCCUAGGCGCAAUAGAUAUAGUACCGCAAGGGAAAGACAAAAACUUAAUAAAGCACAAAAAAGCAAAGACAAACCCUUCUACCUUCUGCAUAAUGAAUUAACUAGAAAUAACUUUAUAUAGAGAACUUCAAUAAUGCCCCCCGAAACCAAGCGAGCUACCCAAAGACAGCCAAAAGAGCACACCCGUCUAUGUGGCAAAAUAGUGGGAAGAUCUAUGGGUAGUGGUGAUAAACCUAUCGAGCCUGGUGAUAGCUGGUUGUCCAAGACAGAAUCUCAGUUCAACCUUAAAUUUAUUUACAGAUCCACUAAUCUUCUCGUAAAUUUAAUUGUUAGUCUAAAGAGGGACAGCUCUUUAGACUUUAGGAAAUAACCUUUUAUAGAGAGUAAGACAUCCCACCACUACAGUUGGCCUAAAAGCAGCCAUCAAUUAAGAGUGCGUUCAAGCUCAAUACCUAAUCAUCCUUGAUCCUACUAAUAACACCAAACUCCUAUAACACAUUGGACUAAUCUAUUACCCAAUAGAAGCAACAAUGUUAGUAUAAGUAACAUGAAAUUAUUCUCCUCGCAUAAACUUAUCUCAGACCGAAACAACUACUGCUAGUUAACAGUCCAAUCACCAUACACUAUAUCUUAACAUAACAUUACCUAAACUGUUAACCCAACACAGGUAUGCAUCCAGGAAAGAUCAAAAGAAGUAAGAGGAACUCGGCAAACUCCACCCCCGCCUGUUUACCAAAAACAUCACCUCUAGCAUUACUAGUAUUAGAGGCACUGCCUGCCCGGUGACACAUGUUUAACGGCCGCGGUACCCUGACCGUGCAAAGGUAGCAUAAUCACUUGUUCUCUAAAUAAGGACUUGUAUGAAUGGCCACACGAGGGUUCAACUGUCUUUUACUUCCAAUCAGUGAAAUUGACCUAUCCGUGAAGAGGCGGAUAUAACUUAAUAAGACGAGAAGACCCUAUGGAGCUUAAAUUUAAUAGUACAAACUAACAAUUUAAAAACCAACAGGCAGCAACCCACCGUCCAUGUACUAUGAAUUUUGGUUGGGGUAACCUCGGAGUAUAAUAUAGCCUCCGAAAAAACAUAUACCAAGACCUCACCAGUCUAAGUAAAUAUAUACACCUAUUGACCCAAUAACUUGAUCAACGGACUAAGUUACCCUAGGGAUAACAGCGCAAUCCUAUUUUAGAGUCCAUAUCGACAAUAGGGUUUACGACCUCGAUGUUGGAUCAAGACAUCCUAAUGGUGCAGCCGCUAUUAAGGGUUCGUUUGUUCAACGAUUAAAGUCUUACGUGAUCUGAGUUCAGACCGGAGAAAUCCAGGUCGGUUUCUAUCUAUUAAAUAUUUCUCCCAGUACGAAAGGACAAGAGAAAUAGAGCCCACUUCACAAAGCGCCCUCACAAAUCGAAUGACCAUUAUCUCAAUUCC